ACGCCUGUGAGUGUGCUAACUACGUGUAGAUUGUCAACGGUUAGGCGAAAGCUGUUGUAUUUCUAGCUUGUUAGUCAAUCAAUGCAGAAGCGCGGUUCCCGCGUGAAAACGAGUCGCUGUUUCGACCGCUACAGAAUUUUUUUGGAUAGUGUGCUUUCCUUUUGCGUGUGAAGUGACUUGUGUUGUAUUUAUCUAAUUUUAUAUUUAUGAGGGAGAUAGUGUUCAUGUAUAUUUGCUGGAUUUGACUGAAAAUUACAUAAAUAUUACAAGAAUACCUGGACUGACACCAGAAGAGGUUUUCAGAAUUUUGUAUGCUUUACCAGAAGAUGUAGAAGAUUCAGAUAUCGAUGAUGACUCUGAUGAUGAUUCUGAAUCACCAAAUACCUCUCAGAUUUUGGACGAAAAUAGUGAUAACGUUAUUGUUUCAAAUGAAGACAACUGUUUCAAUCUGACAAUAGACACUAGUGAAAUUGGGAACAUGUCUCCUUGUCAAGCAAGUGUAUCCGAUUCAACCCCAGAAACAGCUGCUACAACAUUUUCUUCUAGUGAAAAAAUGUGGAAUGAGAAUAUUUCCUAUGUUGAAAAUCGUCCACUGAAAUUAGAAGAAAGCGCAGAAAAUAUUGCAAAUUUCUCAAAGUCUGAUAAAGAAAUAAAAUAUUUCGAGUCUAUAUUUACAGAAGAGUUGUUGCUUCAUAUUUGCAAUCAGACGAACUUAUAUGCAAGGCAGGAAAGGUGUGCUGUGAAGGCAGGGAAGAAAACAACCAAAGUAUCUUCCAACUGGCAGGACAUUACUGUUCCUGAGCUAAAAGCUUUUUUGGGAAUGCUUAUUUAGAUGGGUGUUCAUCAGCUUCCACAACUCGGAAAUUAUUGGAGCAGUGAUCCUAUUCUUGGAGUAACUGCUAUCUCAUUGGUCAUGGCAAAGCUUCGAUACAAAAAAAUUGUUGAGAACCUGCAUUGCAAUGACAACAGCACGCGUGUCAAAAAAGAGAAGCCGGGUUAUGACAAGUUACACAAAAUUCGACCUGUCGUCAGAGUAAUAUCAAAUAAGCUUUGUAAAGUCUACGAACCAUCUUCUGUUUUAGCAGUUGACGAAUGUAUGGUGGCCUUCAAAGGACGGUCAACACUCAAACAAUAUAUGCCAAUGAAACCAGUGAAGCGUGGAUAUAAAGUGUGGUGCUUAGCUGAUGCUAGUCCUCAGUUCAUCAUAAAUUUCGACAUCUACAUUGGAAAAAGAGAUACAAAUGAUACAUCCGAAUUUACUUUGGGUGAAGAAGUUGUGCUUACUCUAACAAAGGCAAUGGAUGACAGCAAAAGGCUGGUAGCUUUUGACAAUUAUUUUACAACAGUACGAAUAAUGUAAGAGUUACAGUCUCAUGGACUUUAUGGCAUCGAAACUGUUCGUCCAAACAGGAAGGAUUUUCCUGAUAUGCUGAAAAAAAAUUCCAAGGUUAGCAGGGGAGAAUUCGAAUUUGCUGUCAGGUCAUGUGUUGCAGCAGUGAAGUGGCAGGAUAGUAAACCUGUUUGUAUAUUAUCAAAUUACCAUAAUCUCAAACACAUUACAACUGUUUUGAGAAGAAACAAAGAUGGAAGCAGAAGUGAAGUAUUCUGCCCAUUGGCUGUGGCAGAGUAUAAUAAAAUAAUGGGAGGAGUGGAUAGAUUUGAUCAGCUGCAUGAACGGUAUGCUGUAGGCCAUCGUUCAUGGAAGUGGUGGCACAGACUGUUUUUCUUUCUUGUAGAUUUGGCAGUUGUCAAUUCCUACAUUAUGUGGAAGCGACAGAAGCAGACCAGCUAACAUUUAGAUUGUACUUGGCAAGGCAGCUUAUCUCUGGCUUCUCAAGUCGUAAGAGAAGAGUAAGGCCCGUUCAUUUUCAAACACCAAAAAGAGGUGUGCCUGGAGUACCAGAUGAAGUUUGUCUGGAGAAAGUUGGAACUCACUUCCCUACAAAAGGUACAACAAACAGAAGAUGCCGCCAAUGUAGCACCAAGAACAAAGAAAAGAGAACAAAGAUAAUGUGUAGCAACUGUCGUGUACCUUUGUGUGUAGCACCAUGCUUCUAUAAGUUCCAUAGUACAUCACCUUUGUGAACUCAAAGGACAAUACGAACUAAUACAAUACAAAUAUAAAUGUAAUGUUUGAGUUUUUGCACAAAAAAAAUAAAGGAAAUAAAUUUUUUUAAAUUAA